rnacentral:rRNA from 1 species
CAGUAGCCACGGGAAUACGGAGGGAGCUAGCGUUGUUCGGAAUUACUGGGCGUAAAGCGCGCGUAGGCGGUUACUCAAGUCAGAGGUGAAAGCCCGGGGCUCAACCCCGGAAUUGCCUUUGAAACUAGGUAACUAGAAUCUUGGAGAGGUCAGUGGAAUUCCGAGCGUAGAGGUGAAAUUCGUAGAUAUUCGGAAGAACACCAGUGGCGAAGGCGACUGACUGGACAAGUAUUGACGCUGAGGUGCGAAAGCGUGGGGGGCAAACAGGAUUAGAUACCCCAGUAGUCCCUGUCUCUUAUAC